rnacentral:rRNA from 1 species
UACAGAGAGUGCGAGCGUUAAUCGGAAUUACUGGGCGUAAAGCGCACGUAGGUGGAUGUUUAAGUUGGAUGUGAAAUCCCUGGGCUUAACCUAGGAAUUGCAUUCAAUACUGGAUGUCUAGAGUAUAGUAGAGGGAAGUGGAAUUUCUGGUGUAGCGGUGAAAUGCGUAGAUAUCAGAAGGAACAUCAGUGGCGAAAGCGGCUUCCUGGACUAAUACUGACACUUAGGUGCGAAAGCGUGGGGAGCAAACAGGAUUAGAUACCCGAGUAGU